rnacentral:rRNA from 1 species
AAGCCCACGACCCGGCAUCGGGAAGAGGGAAAAGGAGCAAUCCGGCUUGAGAUGGCCUCGCGUCCGAUUAGCUAGUUGGUGAGGUAACGGCCCACCAAGGCGACGAUCGGUAGCCGGACUGAGAGGUUGAACGGCCACAUUGGGACUGAGACACGGCCCAGACUCCUACGGGAGGCAGCAGUGGGGAAUAUUGCACAAUGGGGGAAACCCUGAUGCAGCGACGCCGCGUGGAGGAAGAAGGUCUUCGGAUUGUAAACUCCUGUUGUUGAGGAAGAUAAUGACGGUACUCAACAAGGAAGUGACGGCUAACUACGUGCCAGCAGCCGCGGUAAAACGUAGGUCACAAGCGUUGUCCGGAAUUACUGGGUGUAAAGGGAGCGCAGGCGGGCGAUCAAGUUGGAAGUGAAAUCCAUGGGCUCAACCCAUGAACUGCUUUCAAAACUGGUCGUCUUGAGUAGUGCAGAGGUAGGCGGAAUUCCCGGUGUAGCGGUGGAAUGCGUAGAUAUCGGGAGGAACACCAGUGGCGAAGGCGGCCUACUGGGCACCAACUGACGCUGAGGCUCGAAAGUGUGGGUAGCAAACAGGAUUAGAUACCCUGGUAGUCCACACCGUAAACGAUGAUUACUAGGUGUUGGGAGAUUGACCCUCUCAGUGCCGCAGUUAACACAAUAAGUAAUCCACCUGGGGAGUAC